rnacentral:rRNA from 1 species
AACCAGCACCUCAAGUGGUCAGGAGGAUUAUUGGGCCUAAAGCAUCCGUAGCCGGCUCUGUAAGUUUUCGGUUAAAUCCAUGUGCUCAACGCAUGGGCUGCCGAAAAUACUGCAUAGCUAGGGAGUGGGAGAGGUAGACGGUACUCGGUAGGAAGGGGUAAAAUCCUUUGAUCUAUCGAUGACCACCUGUGGCGAAGGCGGUCUACCAGAACACGUUCGACGGUGAGGGGUGAAAGCUGGGGGAGCAAACCGG